AGCUCCAAUAGCGUAUAUUAAAGUUGUUGCCGUUAAAAAGCUCGUAGUCGAACUUCGGCCUUUGCCGCCCGGUCCGCCCUAUGGGUGUGUACUGGAGCGGUGGAGGCUUACCUCGUGGUGAACGGCCAUGCUCUUUACUGGGUGUGGUCGGGAACCAUGAUUUUUACUUUGAAAAAAUUAGAGUGUUCAAAGCAGGCUUACGCCCGAAUACAUUAGCAUGGAAUAAUAAAAUAGGACGUGCGGUUCUAUUUUGUUGGUUUCUAGAAUCGCCGUAAUGAUUAAUAGGGAUAGUUGGGGGCAUUCGUAUUCAAUUGCUAGAGGUGAAAUUCUUGGAUUUAUUGAAGACGAACUACUGCGAAAGCAUUUGCCAAGGAUGUUUUCA
rnacentral:rRNA from 1 species